GGUGACGUGUCGGAUAUUGGGCGUAAAGGGCUCGCAGGCGGUUUCUUAAGUCUGAUGUGAAAGCCCCCGGCUCAACCGGGGAGGGUCAUUGGAAACUGGGAAACUUGAGUGCAGAAGAGGAGAGUGGAAUUCCACGUGUAGCGGUGAAAUGCGUAGAGAUGUGGAGGAACACCAGUGGCGAAGGCGACUCUCUGGUCUGUAACUGACGCUGAGGAGCGAAAGCGUGGGGAGCGAACAGGAUUAGAUACCCUGGUAGUCCACGCCGUAAACGAUGAGUGCUAAGUGUUAGGGGGUUUCCGCCCCUUAGUGCUGCAGCUAACGCAUUAAGCACUCCGCCUGGGGAGUACGGUCGCAAGACUGAAACUCAAAGGAAUUGACGGGGGCCCGCACAAGCGGUGGAGCAUGUGGUUUAAUUCGAAGCAACGCGAAGAACCUUACCAGGUCUUGACAUCCUCUGACAACCCUAGAGAUAGGGCUUUCCCUUCGGGGACAGAGUGACAGGUGGUGCAUGGUUGUCGUCAGCUCGUGUCGUGAGAUGUUGGGUUAAGUCCCGCAACGAGCGCAACCCUUGAUCUUAGUUGCCAGCAUUCAGUUGGGCACUCUAAGGUGACUGCCGGUGACAAACCGGAGGAAGGUGGGGAUGACGUCAAAUCAUCAUGCCCCUUAUGACCUGGGCUACACACGUGCUACAAUGGACAGAACAAAGGGCUGCGAGACCGCAAGGUUUAGCCAAUCCCACAAAUCUGUUCUCAGUUCGGAUCGCAGUCUGCAACUCGACUGCGUGAAGCUGGAAUCGCUAGUAAUCGCGGAUCACAUGCCCGGGGGGAAAUACGUUCCCGGGGCCUUGUACACACCGCCCGUCACACCACGAGAGUUUGCAACACCCGAAGUCGGUGAGGUAACCUUUAUGGAGCCAGCCGCCGAAGGUGGGGCAGAUGAUUGGGUGAUUAGAAAAAAACCCCCCCACACACACAUAAAAGGAGGGAAAAUAACCCCCGGUAGUUCGGGGCGC
rnacentral:rRNA from 1 species